rnacentral:rRNA from 1 species
GGGGAAUUUUGGACAAUGGGCGCAAGCCUGAUCCAGCCAUGCCGCGUGAGUGAAGAAGGCCUUCGGGUUGUAAAGCUCUUUCGCAAGGGAAGAAAACGUGUGGGCUAAUAUCCUGCGCGGAUGACGGUACCGUAAGAAGAAGCACCGGCUAACUACGUGCCAGCAGCCGCGGUAAUACGUAGGGUGCGAGCGUUAAUCGGAAUUACUGGGCGUAAAGCGUGCGCAGGCGGUGAUGUAAGACAGAUGUGAAAUCCCCGGGCUCAACCUGGGAACUGCGUUUGUGACUGGUCGGCUAGAGUACGGCAGAGGGGGGUGGAAUUCCACGUGUAGCAGUGAAAUGCGUAGAGAUGUGGAGGAACACCGAUGGCGAAGGCAGCCCCCUGGGCCGAUACUGACGCUCAUGCACGAAAGCGUGGGUAGCAAACA